UAUGCCUCUUCGGGUGAUGACGUGAUUUCGCUUCGGCAUCAGGGGGUCAUGGAUGGUUUUUGGUCGUUUUGCUCCCUGCCCCGAGGGGUAACUAUGUUUGCGUGUGCGGAAUGACUCCACUGAAUGAAGUCCGUCGGGGAGGUUCUGUGUGAUGAUACGAGCAAAUGUAGGAUGAACAGGACGGAAUGUUGGAUUUUUUAUUUUUUAGUAAUCAUACAUUCGCGUAUUAUUCGAUUGAUUCUCGCGUCGUCAAUUUAUGCUCGCCAAGAAGAAUGCUUCUGCCUGUCAUGAUAGUUUGAUUUUGCUUGCAAAGAAGAACGCUUAUGCUUGCAAUCAUUAGUUGAUUUUGCCUGCAAUGAAGAACGCUUAUGCUUUCAAUAAAGAUAUAUCCUUUAUUAUUUACUCACAUCUAUAAUCAUUAUAUAUUCUUCAUUAUAUGCUCACUUUUGCUUGCUGUACUGUGUGAAAGGUUAGGGUCGCAACCACCUUUUCGAGGACGUGGUAGGGAAGAGAUAACUGUUAAGACUAAACAGUGAGCAAGGGUGAACAGUGAAUGGAGACAUCAACACCAGCUGCAACGUGAUGUUUAUGUGACAUUUGCACACAUGUACGUAAAUUGCACUCACAUACACACACAUAGUCAAACAAGUUCAGUGUGUGUUCAACAGCCCCCACCCUUUAGGUUGGACACACCUAUGUAGUAGCUUUCCCAAUAAAUGAGGAGGUGAAGGGGGAGAUCGUUAGGGUUACGUGUGGAGAACUGAAACCGAACGCUUCUCCUCGUUCCCUCCUGGUACCAGAA